rnacentral:rRNA from 1 species
UACGGAGGGUGCAAGCGUUAAUCGGAAUUACUGGGCGUAAAGCGCACGCAGGCGGUUUUUUAAGUCAGAUGUGAAAUCCCCGGGCUCAACCUGGGAACUGCAUUUCAUACUGGCAAGCUUGAGUCCUGUAGAGGGGGGUAGAAUUCCAGGUGUAGCGGUGAAAUGCGUAGAGAUGUGGAGGAAUACCGGUGGCGAAGGCGGCCCCCUGGAAGAGGACUGACGCUCAGGUGCGAAAGCGUGGGGAGCAAACAGG